rnacentral:rRNA from 2 species
AAGUUUGUUGUUAAAGAAGAACAAGAUGAGAGUAACUGUUCAUCGUUGACGGUAUUUAACCAGAAAGUCACGGCUAACUACGUGCCAGCAGCCGCGGUAAUACGUAGGUGGCAAGCGUUAUCCGGAUUUAUUGGGCGUAAAGAGAGUGCAGGCGGUUUUAAGUCUGAUGUGAAAGCCUUCGGCUUAACCGGAGAAGUGCAUCGGAAACUGGAUAACUUGAGUGCAGAAGAGGGUAGUGGAACUCCAUGUGUAGCGGUGGAAUGCGUAGAUAUAUGGAAGAACACCAGUGGCGAAGGCGGCUACCUGGUCUGCAACUGACGCUGAGACUCGAAAGCAUGGGUAGCGAACAGGAUUAGAUACCCUGGUAGUCCAUGCCGUAAACGAUGAGUGCUAGGUGUUGGAGGGUUUCCGCCCUUCAGUGCCGGAGCUAACGCAUUAAGCACUCCGCCUGGGGAGUACGACCGCAAGGUUGAAACUCAAAGGAAUUGACGGGGGCCCGCACAAGCGGUGGAGCAUGUGGUUUAAUUCGAAGCUACGCGAAGAACCUUACCAGGUCUUGACAUCUUGCGCCAACCCUAGAGAUAGGGCGUUUCCUUCGGGAACGCAAUGACAGGUGGUGCAUGGUCGUCGUCAGCUCGUGUCGUGAGAUGUUGGGUUAAGUCCCGCAACGAGCGCAACCCUUGUUACUAGUUGCCAGCAUUAAGUUGGGCACUCUAGUGAGACUGCCGGUGACAAACCGGAGGAAGGUGGGGACGACGUCAGAUCAUCAUGCCCCUUAUGACCUGGGCUACACACGUGCUACAAUGGACGGUACAACGAGUCGCGAACUCGCGAGGGCAAGCAAAUCUCUUAAAACCGUUCUCAGUUCGGACUGCAGGCUGCAACUCGCCUGCACGAAGUCGGAAUCGCUAGUAAUCGCGGAUCAGCAUGCCGCGGUGAAUACGUUCCCGGGCCUUGUACACACCGCCCGUCACACCAUGAGAGUUUGUAACACCCAAAGUCGGUGGGGUAACCUUUUAGGAGCCAGCCGCCUAAGGUGACAGAUGA